GACGAACGCUGGCGGCGUGCUUAACACAUGCAAGUCGAACGGAAAGGCCCUGCUUUGGUGGGGUGCUCGAGUGGCGAACGGGUGAGUAACACGUGAGUAACCUGCCCUUGACUUUGGGAUAACUUCAGGAAACUGGGGCUAAUACCGGAUAGGAGCUCCUGCUGCAUGGUGGGGGUUGGAAAGUUUCGGCGGUUGGGGAUGGACUCGCGGCUUAUCAGCUUGUUGGUGGGGUAGUGGCUUACCAAGGCUUUGACGGGUAGCCGGCCUGAGAGGGUGACCGGCAACAUUGGGACUGAGAUACGGCCGAGCCUCCUCCGGGAGGCAGCAGUGGGGAAUAUUGCACAAUGGGCGGAAGCCUGAUGCAGCAACGCCGCGUGCGGGAUGACGGCCUUCGGGUUGUAACCCGCUUUCGCAUGUGACGAAGCGUGAGUGACGGUAAUGGGUAAAGAAGCACCGGCUAACUACGUG
rnacentral:rRNA from 1 species